GUCCACGCCGUAAACGAUGAGUGCUAGCAGUAUGCGGUAUCGACCCCGUGUGUUGCGAAGCUAACGCGUUAAGCACUCCGCCUGGGGAGUACGGUCGCAAGAUUAAAACUCAAAAGGAAUAGACGGGGACCUGCACAAGCGGUGGAGCGUGUUGUUUAAUUGGACGAUAAGCCAAAAACCUCACCAAGGUUUGACAUCCUCAGAAGCACUACGAAAGUAGAGUGUGCCUUUUGGAACUGAGUGACAGGUGAUGCAUGGCCGUCGU
rnacentral:rRNA from 1 species